rnacentral:tRNA from 1 species
GCAGUGGUGGUUCAGUGCUAGAAUUCUCAUUUUCCAUAAUAGAGACCAGGGUUCAAUUCCCAGCCAGUGCA